rnacentral:rRNA from 1 species
GAUGAACGCUGGCGGCGUGCCUAAUACAUGCAAGUCGAGCGAACAGACGAGGAGCUUGCUCCUCUGACGUUAGCGGCGGACGGGUGAGUAACACGUGGAUAACCUACCUAUAAGACUGGGAUAACUUCGGGAAACCGGAGCUAAUACCGGAUAAUAUAUUAAACCGCAUGGUUCACUAGUGAAAGACGGUUUUGCUGUUACUUAUAGAUGGUUCCGCGCCGCAUUAGCUAGUUGGUAAGGUAACGGCUUACCAAGGCAACGAUGCGUAGCCGACCUGAGAGGACGAGCAGCCACACGGGAACGGAGACAAGGCACAGACUCCUACGGGAGGCAGCAGUGGGGAAUUGUGGACAAUGGGCGAAAGCCUGAUCCAGCAAUGCCGCGUGCGGGAAGAAGGGCUUCGGAUUGUAAAAGGCUUUUGUACGGAACGAAAAGGCUCUGGCUAAUACCUGGUGCUGAUGAAGGUACCGGAAGAAUAAGCACCGGCUAACUACGUG